AGGAUUCCCCUAGUAACUGCGAGUGAACCGGGAAAAGCUCAAAUUUUGAAUCUGGCGGUCCAAGGGCCGUCCGAGUUGUAAUCUAGAGAAGCGUCUUCCGCGCUGGACCGUGUAUAAGUUUCCUGGAAUGGAACGUCGUAGAGGGUGACAAUCCCGUCUUUGACACGGACUCCCAGUGCUAUGUGAUGCGCUCUCGACGAGUCGAGUUGUUUGGGAAUGCAGCUCAAAUAGGGUGGUAAAUUCCAUCUAAAGCUAAAUACAGGCGAGAGACCGAUAGCGAACAAGUACCGUGAGGGAAAGAUGAAAAGAACUUUGGAAAGAGAGUUAAACAGUACGUGAAAUUGCUGAAAGGGAAACGCUUGAUGUCAGUCGCAUCGUCCGGGGAUCAGCCUCGCUCUUUUGCUCGGCGUACUUCCUGGUCGAUGGGUCAGCAUCGGUUUCGACCGUCGGAAAAUGGCUCGAGGAACGUGGCACUCUUCGGGGUGUGUUAUAGCCUCGAGUCGAAUACGACGGUCGGGACCGAGGAACUCAGCACGACCUUCGGGUUCGGGGCUUCGGCUCACGUUCGCGUGCUUAGGAUGCGGCAUAAGGCCUAA
rnacentral:rRNA from 1 species